AACGAACGCUGGCGGCAUGCCUAACACAUGCAAGUCGAACGAGACCUUCGGGUCUAGUGGCGCACGGGUGCGUAACGCGGGGGAACCUGCCCUUAGGUUCGGAAUAACUCCCCGAAAGGGGUGCUAAUACCGGAUAAUGUCUUCGGACCAAAGAUUGAUCGCCCUUGGAUGGGCCCGCGUUGUAUUAGCUAGUUGGUAGGGUAAAAGCCUACCAAGGCGACGAGCCAUAGCUGGUCUGAGAGGAUGAUCAGCCACACUGGGACUGAGACACGGCCCAGACUCCUACGCGAGGCAGCAGUGGGGAAUAUUGGAAAAUGGGCGAAAGCCUGAUCCAGCAAUGCCGCGUGAGUGAUGAAGGCCUUAGGGUUGUAAAGCUCUUUUACCCGGGAUGAUAAUGACAGUACCGGGAGAAUAAGCACCGGCUAACUCCGUG
rnacentral:rRNA from 1 species